AAAAAUAAACUCGAUCAAAUUAUUUGUUCAUUUACAGUCAAGAGAUUGCUCAGCUCCUGGAACUGGUAUAGAUCUGAGAAAAUAUUUAAAAAGUAAACACAUAGUGCAAGAAAAAAUAUCAUAUAUAUAAUUUAGGACCCUUUUGGAUAGACUUAUACAUCUUAAAUUCAGGUGGAUUUUUUUUAUAUACAUAUAAACAAACACUCUUCUCUCUUUGAAAACAAGCAUCAGUUUUCAGUUUUCUUCCUGAACUGGGACCAUUUAAACAUGCUGGAACAUGUGUGUACCCAUAAUAUCAACAAAUCUAUUGGUGUGAAUCAACUGAAAUGCCAGACUACAUCCUUAAAGGAGCAUUCUUCUGAUACCUGCUGUUAGGGAAGUGACUGCGCCUGACGCUUUGGAGCUAUAUGGAAAUAUUACACUGUCUAAUAAUCUAAUAACAACCCAACCAGAAAACUUAGUAGUGUGUUUCUGCUCCUUCCAUGGUCAAGCACAGGAUGGGAUUUCUUCGAAUGAAAAUAUUUUUGCCUCAGGCUCCCAUUAAUUCUCAAUGUGAGAGGGUGUAAGAUAAGACGAGCGUUUCUCUCAAGGAAUCUGCAUUUAAGUAACAAAUGGAACCCACUCCCCGUUAUGAGGUAUAGCCUCAUGUUGCUCCGAGGGUUUUGAAAAAGCCUCAGCGUUAGGAAAAUGCACCAAUAAGCCCACCGGGAAAUGCCAGAAUUACAGAAUCGUUAGGGUUGAAAGGGACCACUGGAGAACAUCCAGUCCAACGCCCCUGCCAAGGCGGGGUAACCUGGAAUAGGUAACAGGGGUUCGCGUCCAGUUCCUCCAUCUGUGUGCCUUUGACCUGAUUGUCCUGUAUGAGAUCCUGGUGCAUCUGUUCCACAGUUACCUGUGCAGGAUCCACCUGUACCUGAAUUACUGGAUUGUUUAGGCUCCUUUCAAGGUAGAAUUGUAGAAAACAUCUUCUGUUUAAGAAUAUUUGCAUUCCACGCCUGAACAACAAGAUACCAUCAUAGUCUGGAACAUUGGAGAAGCUCCAAAGACAAUAUGUGCUGUGAAGAAGAGGAAGAUGAGGAAGAAAGGGGUCUCAGGACCCCUGACUCAAUUUCUGGAGAGGCAUGCUGGGGGCAGAUUUGGGGAGGAACUGGGGGGCAGAUAGUUCUGGGAUUGGAUGGACAAUACUAUAAAAUUGUAGAACCACUGGACACGGUGCACGUGCAUCUGUUCUGUACUCCCAUGGUCAGAGGGCAUUCCUUAAAGACCCGCUCUAUUAUCUUAUCUCUAUUAAAUUUGCGUGGAGUUUUUUUGGCUCCCGAUCUUUAGGCAACACCAGCAUAAGCUGGAAUUACUUUCCAGAUAAAGUCAGUAUGUGUGGUACCAAAGAGAAUAAUAAUAAAAUAAAAAAUAAAAUAUUAUUUUGUAUUUUGAACUUUAGUGAAGCAUGGUCAGAAGUGGAAAAGGCCUAGGUCAGUGCAUCGAGAACCUUGAAAAGGAAGCAGAAAGACCAGUAAAAGGCAGCCUUCCCGUAAGAAUCUCUCUGAUUAUAUGUAUUAUGAGGCUCCACAUCAGUAAUUCCACAUUUUAAAUGGAGCUACUUAGACAUAAGAAUUUACCUGCAUAUUGGGUUUGAAUGUGAUCUUUAUUUUACUGAAGUAGCUCUUGGAGACAUAAGGCCAUUCUCCUUGCCUUUCUUGUUCAGUUCCCCCACUCCCUCGAAGGAGGGAGGUAUCUAGCCUGGGACUCUGCUACUUC